rnacentral:rRNA from 1 species
CCUACGGGUGGCAGCAGUGAGGAAUAUUGGUCAAUGGCCGCGAGCCUGAACCAGCCAAGUCGCGUGAGGGAAGACGGCCCUAUGGGUUGUAAACCUCUUUUGUCGGGGAGCAAAAGGCGCCACGCGUGGCGUUCCGAGAGUACCCGAAGAAAAAGCAUCGGCUAACUCCGUGCCAGUAGCCGCGGUAAUACGGAGGAUGCGAGCGUUAUCCGGAUUUAUUGGGUUUAAAGGGUGCGCAGGCGGAAGAUCAAGUCAGCGGUAAAAUUGAGGGGCUCAACCCCGUACCGCCGUUGAAACUGGGUCUCUUGAGUGCGCGAGAAGUAUGCGGAAUGCGUGGUGUAGCGGUGAAAUGCAUAGAUAUCACGCAGAACUCCGAUUGCGAAGGCAGCAUACCGGCGCUCAACUGACGCUCAUGCACGAAAGCGUGGGUAUCGAACAGGAUUAGAUACCCUUGUAGUC